CGGAGGAAAAGAAACCAACAGGGAUUGCCUCAGUAACGGCGAGUGAAGCGGCAAAAGCUCAAAUUUGAAACCCUCGGGAUUGUAAUUUGAAGAUUUGGCAUUGGAGAAAGCUAACCCAAGUUACUUGGAAUAGUACGUCAUAGAGGGUGACAACCCCGUCUGGCUAACCGUUCUCCAUGUAUUGCCUUAUCAAAGAGUCGAGUUGUUUGGGAAUGCAGCUCAAAGUGGGUGGUAAACUCCAUCUAAAGCUAAAUACUGGUGAGAGACCGAUAGCGAACAAGUACUGUGAAGGAAAGGUGAAAAGAACUUUGAAAAGAGAGUGAAAUAGUAUGUGAAAUUGUUGAUAGGGAAGGAAAUGAGUGGAGAGUGGUUUAGGUUUCAGCCUUCUUUCGAGGGGGUGUACUACCAACGCCGAGUCAUUGUCAGCGAGACAGGGGUUAUAAACGGGUUGCCUUCUGGCUUCUCACCUAACCCCUCCACUGCCGACAACGACAUAAUCCACCCAUUUCACCCGUCUUGAAACACGG
rnacentral:rRNA from 1 species